CGACGGUAGGUUUCCAGAUCACUCGCAAAAAUCAGCGAACAACGUCAAGACAGAGAGUUUGAACACAGAGCCUGGAGACGACUACAAGACAUCGGACAUUGACAUGGGCUGUUGCAUGAGAGCUGCAUCUUCACCAAUUGAAGUGAUCGAUCUGACUUCACCGCCAC